GGGGAAGAUUACAGAGUAGGAUUAUAUAGGUUGUUACAACAAGUUAGGGGAAGAUUACAGAAUAGGAUUAUAUAGGUUGUUACAACAAGUUAGGGGAAGACUACAGAGUAGAUACAAUGCGUGGUAUACACAGAAAGAGUUAACGUAUCUACUUGCCGCCUAUCGUUUCACACCACACACACCAACGUGACAGGCACAAACUGAGCAAGCGAGCAAGGUUUUGAUGUGCGCUCCGUGUGCGUGUUCAGCUCAUCACAUGACGCUGCACCCAGCACUAGGCUCCUCCUCGUAGCACUGCGGCUGGUACGGAUUCCUGCCGUACCCUCCGACGUACGCCCCGUACGCGCCGUGGUCAUACACGGGCCCGCCGUAGUACCCGCCGGCAGGUGCCCCUCCGGCGUACCCGUGUCCGUAUGCGGGUGCGCUGUACCCCCACCCAGGGGCGGCCGGCCAGAUGGACGGCGUGGCCAUCGCCUGCG
rnacentral:lncRNA from 1 species